UACGAAGGGGGCUAGCGUUGUUCGGAAUCACUGGGCGUAAAGCGCACGUAGGCGGAUUGUUAAGUCGGGGGUGAAAUCCUGGAGCUCAACUCCAGAACUGCCUUUGAUACUGAGGAUCUCGAGUCCGGGAGAGGUGAGUGGAACUCCGAGUGUAGAGGUGAAAUUCGUAGAUAUUCGGAAGAACACCAGUGGCGAAGGCGGCUCACUGGCCCGGUACUGACGCUGAUGUGCGAAAGCGUGGGGAGCAAACAGG
rnacentral:rRNA from 1 species